AGAAGUUGGUAGUGGACAGUUACCAUCUCUCUUUAUCGUUCGCGCAUCUCAUAGGCACAGCUAGUUUUGCCAAGCUGUAAUAGAUUUGAAAUGUAUCCAAUAGAAAAUCGUAUCAACUCCAAAUAAACAAUUUUGUGACAUAUCUAGUUUUGAAACUAGACGCCUGCAUCAUCUUAGACUUUUUUGGCCGUCCGCCUGACACGAACCAAGGUAUUCGACUUGUCCAAAUCCAGCGCAGAGCCAGCAAUGAGCGAACGACGAACAACACAGGUCGUCCACAAGCCGAAAACAAUACCGCUAGCUACUGUUUCAACUCAAUUUCUGGUUCCAGUCGAAUUUUCCAUGGGCCAUAUGGUAUUAUCAACUCUAGAUGAGCAUCAGGGGGUUAGAUGUGAGAGCAGCCGAAGGCUAAAUCUCGCCUUGUGAUGUUCAAGCAAGAAAGAGAUUUUCCUGUAUUAUUUUUUCGAAAUAUGUAGAUAAUAAUUGGUAAUCUUUACAUAAUAAAGACGAUAUUAUUAUUAUUA